UCCCUGGAGGACUAGUGGUUAGGCCACAGAGGUCUCACCACUGCAGCCCGGGUUCGAUUCCCAGCCAGGGAA
rnacentral:tRNA from 1 species